rnacentral:rRNA from 1 species
UGGGGGAUAUUGCACAAUGGGCGAAAGCCUGAUGCAGCGACGCCGCGUGGGGGAUGAAGGCUUUCGGGUUGUAAACCUCUUUCGCUAUCGAACAAGGUCCGCUUAGGGUGGGUUGAGGGUAGGUGGAGAAGAAGCGCCGGCUAACUACGUGCCAGCAGCCGCGGUAAUACGUAGGGCGCGAGCGUUGUCCGGAAUUAUUGGGCGUAAAGGGCUUGUAGGCGGCUUGUUGCGCCUGCUGUGAAAACGCGGGGCUUAACUUCGCGCGUGCAGUGGGGACGGGAAGGGUUGAGUGUGGUAGGGGUGACUGGAAUUCCAGGUGUAGCGGUGGAAUGCGCAGAUAUCUGGAGGAACACCGAUGGCGAAGGCAGGUCACUGGGCCAUUACUGACGCUGAGGAGCGAAAGCAUGGGUAGCGAACAGG